rnacentral:rRNA from 1 species
UACGUAGGGUGCAAGCGUUGUCCGGAAUUAUUGGGCGUAAAGAGCUCGUAGGUGGCCUGUCGCGUCGGCUGUGAAAACUCGGGGCUCAACUCCGAGCUUGCAGUCGAUACGGGCAGGCUAGAGUUCGGCAGGGGAGACUGGAAUUCCUGGUGUAGCGGUGAAAUGCGCAGAUAUCAGGAAGAACACCCGUGGCUAAGGCGGCUCUCUAGUACGUGACUGACGCUGAGACGCGAAAGCGUGGGGAGCGAACAGGAU